GUACGCAGGGUGCCUUUGAAAGCCCCAGGGCAUGGGAGGAAAGAUCCACAUUGGCCAAGUCAUUAUGUUCAUCUGCACCAAGCUGCAGAACAAGGAGUAUGUGAUUAAGACCCCACACAGGACCAAGUUCAAGUUCCCUAGCUGCUAGAAGAUCCAUAUUUCAAAGAAGUGAGAUUUUACCAAGAUUAAUGUGGAUGAAUUUGAAGACAUGGUAGCUGUGAAACAGCUCAUCCUAGACAGCUAUCAGGUCGAACACCCCCAAUCAUGGCCCCCUGGACAAGUGGUGGGCCCUGUACUUA
rnacentral:lncRNA from 1 species